ACUAAGUUGGCAGAAGAGUAAUGUGCUAGAGUUAGGUUCUAGAGAUGUCGUGGGUUAUACGAUACUUAGUA
rnacentral:tRNA from 1 species